UACGUAGGUGGCAAGCGUUAUCCGGAAUUACUGGGCGUAAAGCGCACGCAGGUGGUCUUGUAAGUUUGACGUGAAAGCUCUCGGCUUAACUGGGAGAGGUCGUUGAAGACCGCAAGACUUGAGGAAAUGAGAGGGGUGUAGAAUUCCCGGUGUAGUGGUGGAAUGCGUAGAUAUCGGGAGGAAUACCAGUGGCGAAAGCGGCACCCUAGCAUUUUUCUGACGCUCAUGUGCGAAAGCGUGGGGAGCGAACGGG
rnacentral:rRNA from 1 species